rnacentral:rRNA from 1 species
GAUGAACGCUGGCGGCGUGCCUAUUACAUGCAAGUAGAACGCUGAAGGAGGAGCUUGCUCUUCUGGAUGAGUUGCGAACGGGUGAGUAACGCGUAGGUAACCUGCCUGGUAGCGGGGGAUAACUAUUGGAAACGAUAGCUAAUACCGCAUGACAACAGUUAUUGCAUGAUAACUGUUUAAAAGGGGCAACUGCUCCACUACCAGAUGGACCUGCGUUGUAUUAGCUAGUUGGUGAGGUAACGGCUCACCAAGGCGACGAUACAUAGCCGACCUGAGAGGGUGAUCGGCCACACUGGGACUGAGACACGGCCCAGACUCCUACGGGAGGCAGCAGUAGGGAAUCUUCGGCAAUGGACGGAAGUCUGACCGAGCAACGCCGCGUGAGUGAAGAAGGUUUUCGGAUCGUAAAGCUCUGUUGUAAGAGAAGAACGAGUGUGAGAGUGGAAAGUUCACACUGUGACGGUAUCUUACCAGAAAGGGACGGCUAACUACGUG